UCCACAGAGGCGGUCUAUUCUGGUGUCACUCAGGCCCCAGAUUCCCGGUCGUGAUGACAGAACAGAGUGCAACACUGAAAUGUACUCAGGAUCUGGGUCAUGACCACGAGUACUGGUACCGACAAGACCUGGGACAUGGGCUGAGGCUGAUCCACUACUCAGUUGUUGCUCCCACCCCGGAGAAAGAAGACGUGCCCGACAGGUGGAGCAUCUCCAGACCAAACACAGAGCACUUCCCUCUCAUGUUGGAGUCUGCCAACCACUCCCAGACAUCUGUGUACUUCUGUGGCAGCAGUUACUGCACAGCGCUGCGUGGCCACCUCCUCUCUGUGCAGAAAGACAGGUGGCCCACGUGCAGGCUCCGAGCAUCGGAAGCCUCAGAGGUUGCAGACCACGUGCCUGCAGUGUGACCCUGAUGUGUGGACUAGGUUGG